rnacentral:rRNA from 1 species
UACGUAGGGUGCGAGCGUUGUCCGGAAUUAUUGGGCGUAAAGGGCUCGUAGGCGGUUUGUCGCGUCGGGAGUGAAAACACCGGGCUUAACUCGGUGCUUGCUUUCGAUACGGGCAGACUAGAGGUAUGCAGGGGAGAACGGAAUUCCUGGUGUAGCGGUGAAAUGCGCAGAUAUCAGGAGGAACACCGGUGGCGAAGGCGGUUCUCUGGGCCUACCUGACGCUGAGGAGCGAAAGCGGUGGGGAGCAAACAGG